GUCAGGAAAUAGGAGGUCAUGGGUUUGGUACAUUGCCACAGAAUAGGGUUCAUUUAAAUCGACUUUCUUUUAUCCUAUAACUAAACUCCUGCACGGCCGAAGACCUUCCACGGAACAAUACAGGCCUUCGCCGACACCGAAUGGCACUCGUUUCCGACAGAUGGCCGGGAUGAGGGGUGCAGAAGGCCAUCAGCAGCACAUCGAGCUGAAACAACCACCUCUGAACAAAAUGACGAGACGUCCCGUUAUCUCGUUCGCUAGCGGCUGUAAACGAGGCGUCACCGAGGCCGCAGCUCGUUUCCACCAUCAAACUUCCCCUCCGCCCUCUAAAAAAGUCCAUUUGACGCCCGCCGGUUUGCUGCCAUGACAACAGAGUGCCGACAAAAGGGGGAAAACUACAUGCCACAACUUCUCUCCCUCUCAACAGCUGUGAGGUGGUGAAAACAAAUCGACCGUUUCGAUGAUGGCGAAGUGGAAAGAAGUGGCCUCCUGAAGCGUGCGUGCAUGUGUGUGUGUGUGUGUGUGUGUGUGUGUCUUUGCUGCUCAUAAAAAGAACUGGAUUAAACCAACAGUAACUCUCACCUGGACAACCUGAAAACUGCACGCAGGUGUGCAAGCAACCCCCUCCGACAACGAUUUCCAUGACGAUAAUUCCCAGAAAUCUAAAUAAUGAGCCCGUUCACAGCUGA